UACGUAGGGUGCAAGCGUUAAUCGGAAUUACUGGGCGUAAAGCGUGCGCAGGCGGUUAUGUAAGACAGAGGUGAAAUCCCCGGGCUCAACCUGGGAACUGCCUUUGGUACUGCAUAGCUAGAGUACGGUAGAGGGGGGUGGAAUUCCGCGUGUAGCAGUGAAAUGCGUAGAUAUGCGGAGGAACACCGGUGGCGAAGGCAAUCCCCUGGACCUGUACUGACGCUCAUGCACGAAAGCGUGGGGAGCAAACAGGAUUAGAUACCCUGGUAGUCCACGCCCUAAACGAUGUCAACUGGUUGUUGGGUCUUCACUGACUCAGUAACGAAGCUAACGCGUGAAGUUGACCGCCUGGGGAGUACGGCCGCAAGGUUG
rnacentral:rRNA from 1 species